GUAUUAAGAUUUAAGGCCUUGCGGCACAUUCACGUUCAAUAUUAACAAAUGGGUUUGUAGUAAAAAGAGGGAAACCUAGAGCAAUAAAGCCCCAAUAAUUUACCCUCAGAGGUGCACAGGUGUAUGGAUAAAGAAUAUCAGGAGCGAGCACAUGCACACAAAAAUGCCAGCAUCAACUCCCUUUAUAAUUCAUUAAUGAUCCUUCCGCAGGUUCACCUACGGAAA
rnacentral:misc_RNA from 1 species